AUUGAACGCUGGCGGCAUGCUUUACACAUGCAAGUCGAAGGGAAACAGGCCGCAAGGUGCUGACGAGUGGCGACGGGGGGAGAAAUCCAUCGGAACGUCCCCAGCCGGGGGGGAUAACGCACGGAAGGCUGCGCUAAUACCCCAUACGACUCCUGGAUGAAAGCGGGGGACGGAAAGCCCUCGCGCGAUUGGAUCGCCCGAUGUCAGGUUAGGUAGUUGGUGGGGUAAAGGCCCACCAAGCCAACGAUCUGUAGCUGGUCUGAGAGGACGACCAGCCACACUGGGACUGAGACACGGCCCAGACUCCUACGGGAGGCAGCAGUGGGGAAUUUUGGACAAUGGGCGCAAGCCUGAUCCAGCAAUGCCGCGUGCAGGAAGAAGGCCUUCGGGUUGUAAACUGCUUUUGUACGGAACGAAACGGUCCGGGUUAAUACCCUGGGCUAAUGACGGUACCGUAAGAAUAAGCACCGGCUAACUACGUGCCAGCCGCCGCCGUAAUAC
rnacentral:rRNA from 1 species